AGUCCUCAUAGCAAUUGGUAACUCGUCGGGCUCAUAACCCGAAGGUUGCAGGUUCAAUCCGCCAAGGCGGACUGCCC
rnacentral:tRNA from 1 species